UGCGUAGGCGGUCCGGUAAGUUGGGUGUGAAAUCCCUCGGCUUAACCGAGGAAUUGCGCCCAAAACUGUCGGACUCGAGGGAGACAGAGGUGAGUGGAACUUAGGGUGGAGCGGUGAAAUGCGUUGAUAUCCUAAGGAACACCGGUGGCGAAAGCGACUCACUGGGUCUCUUCUGACGCUGAGGCACGAAAGCUAGGGUAGCGAACGGGAUUAGAUACCCCGGUAGUCCUAGCCGUAAACGAUGAGCACUAGAUCGAAGGGUGCACCAUAGCCUUUUGGUCGUAGCGAAAGUGUUAAGUGCUCCGCCUGGGGAGUAUGGUCGCAAGGCUGAA
rnacentral:rRNA from 1 species